rnacentral:rRNA from 1 species
AACGAACGCUGGCGGCAGGCCUAACACAUGCAAGUCGAACGCUCCGCAAGGGGAGUGGCGCACGGGUGAGUAACACGUGGGAACCUACCUUCUGGUACGGAACAACCAAGGGAAACUCUGGCUGAUACCGUAUACGACCUCCGGGUGAAAGAUUGAUCGCCGGAAGAGGGGCCCGCGUCCGAUUAGGUAGUUGGUGAGGUAACGGCUCACCAAGCCUGCGAUCGGUAGCUGGUCUGAGAGGANGACCAGCCACACUGGGACUGAGACACGGCCCAGACUCCUACGGGAGGCAGCAGUGGGGAAUUGUUCGCAAUGGGCGCAAGCCUGACGACGCAACGCCGCGUGGAGGACGAAGAUUUUCGGAUCGUAAACUCCUUUCGAUCGGGAAGAACAGCUCUUGAGUUAAUAGCCUGAGAGUCUGACGGUACCGAGAGAAGAAGCCCCGGCUAACUCCGUGCCAGCCGCCGCCGUAAU